rnacentral:lncRNA from 12 species
AUUAACAAUUAACAAUUAAUAAUUAAUAUCUCUCCCCGGCCCCGCCGGCAGGUUCGUUAAGACCACCUCCAACGCCACGGUGGAUCACCUCUCCAAGUACCUGGCGCUGCGCAUCGCGCUGGAGGAGGCCCCGCCCCCCGGGCCCGACCCCGCCCCCGCGCUGGGCGAGGUCAGCGAGAAGCAGUACGGCAUCUACAGCGCCGGCGCCGGCGGCGCCUUCACGGUAACUUCCUGUCUGCGGAGGAAGUGACGUCAGAGGGAGUGGGCUGGGAGGGGGGAAAUGGGGCAAGAUGGCCGCCGCUA